GCCCUUGAAGAGACAAAGAGAAUGGUACCUUGCACAACACCUAGUUCGCCGUGGUUUGGCCGGAAACUGCCUCGAAAGCCUCGGAGGUCGCCGGAAACUGGGUAUUUUUCAAAUGAGUAUAACUUCUUCAAUACUCAACGAAAUUGAGUGAAACAAAAAGGAAAGUUGUAGUACUUGACGAGACGAAGAGAUUGAUACCUACCUCGACUCUUAACUCGCCGGGGAUUCGCCGGAAAAAGCCUCGAAAGCUCCGGCCAAACUUUGAACUUGUCGAUCUCAGUGUUCUUACGUCCAAAAACUUCCCACGAAGCACUCCGAGCUUCCUUGGGACCUCACUAAGCUCACUAUAAGCUUAGAAUUCCCUGAAACACAACAUUUUACGUUCACAUGAACAGUGACCAAAAAUGGAGGUUCGGGUUUCACAUGAUUCCGAAGGUUUCACUUCCUAAAACUAGUACCAAUGAACUCAGAAUGACGAAAGGAUGAAGAUGCAUACCUUAGUUGCCUCGAUCCGUCGAGUUUUGGAGGAUUUGGGUGUAUGCCGUACGUUUUGGGUGAGAGAGAGUGAGAGAGAAAGAGGAAGUCGUGAGGGAGGAGAGAGAAUGAACUGAGAGAGAGACAAGGUACGGGAAAGAGGGAGAAAAUUGAGGGGUGUGGGAUCCUACCCAAUCCCCAACUACAAAAUUCUAACAUAAAUUUAAAUCUAAGUCUCCACUCUACUUACCAAAUUUUAGGAGCUUAGAUAUAACGAACAUAAAAAUUAUACCUUAGCCACGUAUUAGGGGCAUUUUCGUAAUUUCACAUCCUCGGAAUUAAAAAUUCCGGGACGGGCUGUGACAAUCUUCCCUCCUUAUAGAAUUUCGUCCCCGAAAUUCCAACAACCAAUCCAAACAUCUACUCAUACCAACCUCGGUAAAUCUCUCUUAUCCGAUUCUCUUUCUCCCACGUAAUUUUCUUCCACUGAAUGAUUUCCUUCACAAAGCUUUUACCACUUACUCUGUCUUAAUUCUCAAGACUUUCUUUUUCCAAUCCAAAGUCGUCCUUGGUUCCUUAUCAAUUCGAAUCCAAUUUAAUUCUCAAUAGUUGCACCAGAAUCUCAUGUGACGAAUCUGCCACCUAGUGACAACGUAUCGAACCCAAAAUACAUUAAGUACCUUAGCCAACUCUGAAGACAUCACCACUUGUAUGCAACUUUAUUGAUUCCUUUAGUGAUCAAAAAUGGUCUGAUGUGUCUAAAUCUUAUUUUGUCUCCUUUCCAACCCGAAUUAUACUUUUCUAUGGUGAACACUUCGAAAAUAUAAAACCAUUUGUCUUAUACACUCGAUUAGUGGCAUAUCCCUCUGUUAAUCUCUUUUGCCUCAAUCUGCUGACCAAAUAAAACUGUCGAAUGGUAUGAUAAAUCUUAUUACUUUUGGAAUAUUACAGAAGUUAAACAAUGUACUUCGUCCAAAAUUGCUUACUUUAAAUCCUUAGCAUUAGGCACAUACUUUUUGUUUUCUUGUAUCCACAUACCAUUUGAUUCACGAAUCAUGUACUCAUUCUUUUUCCCUUCUUUCUCUGCCUUGGUUAAUUCUUAAAUUUCCUCGUCAAACAUUUAAGUUUCGAGUACGACCUUACCAAAUAGGCCUAACUUGAAAUUUAACAAGUAUAACUUCUUCUCGAUCUUUCAUUCUUAACUUUUCUUCCAUUGGUUUUCAAUCCACAAGAUGAUACUCUUGGCAAACGUGCCAGAUAUUAAUCUUACUGUAGUCUUCUCACCAAGUGCUUCAGCUAGAACAAAUUUUACGAUCACCUUGAUCGUACAAUCAUGUUCAUUAAGCAAUACAAUUCACUUUCGCUGCCUCAUAUCAAAAUCCUUCCAAGUAAUGGAUAUUGAAGACUUUUUGGAUUCGUAAAAAUCUUGCAUUCUUACCAAAUAUAUAAUGUCUCCAUAACUUCACAGUAAGAAUGGUAAUCAUGACUUCCAAGUCACUCGUAGGGUAAUUCAUCUCAUGAGGUUCCAUUUAUCAUGAAACGUAUGCAAUCACCCUAACAUUUGCAUCAACAUGCCUCCAAUACCAUUCAAGAAACAUCACUAAAAAUUUAUGAUUACCACUAUUCUCUGGGAAUACCAAAUUACGUGCAUGAGUGAGGAAAUACUUCAGUUGUUGAAUCAUUUGCUCACAAUUUCCUUCCCACUCAUACAUAACCUCUUUUCUCAACAGUCUCGUUAAUGACAAAGCAAUGACUAAAAAUUCUUUCACAACCAUCCAAAAUAGCCUGGUAAGCUAAGAAAUUCCAAAUCUCAAUUACGACUCGUGGUUGUUCCAAAUUCUCAAUUUCUGCUAUCUUUUAAGAAUUCAUUUGAAUACCUUAAGCAGAUAUAACCAAUCUCAGAAUGCCACUUGAUUCAUCCAACAUUCGCAUUUGCUAAACUUAGCAUACAACCAACGUUCUCUCAAUCUUUGCUUCACCGACUUAAUACGUUUACAUGCUCUGCUCUGGCUCAGAAUAUGCCAGAAUAUCUUCAAUGAAAAUGAUAUCAAUUUAUCAAGGCAUUAUUGGAAUACUUCAUCCAUCAACUCAUAAAACAGCAUGAGUAUCCAUAUAGCAUCACCAAACUUCAUAAAGACUAUAACAAGUCCAGAAAACCAUCUUAUGAUCAACGUCACUUAUAAUAUUCAAUUGGUAGAACCAGAUCUCAAUUCAAUCUUUGAAUCUUCGCAAUUACUUCUGAGCUGGUUAAAUAAACAUCAGUACAUCACCAUGGAUAACGGUUCUCAAUCGUUACCCGACUCCAUUGUCUAUAAUCAAUGAACAAUCUCAAGAUCCAUUUUUCUUCCUCACCAACAAACUGGGCUCCUCAAAAGUGUUGUACUAGGUUGAAUAAAACUUUUAUCAACCAAUUCUCUCAACUGAAUUUCCAAUUCCCUUAACUCAUCCUGAACCAAUCUCCAAUAUAAAUUUAUACCUGGCAACAAAUCAAUAAUGAACCUCAUAUCUCUGCCUGAAGGCAAUCCAGGUAUACUUUCAAGGAAGACAUCAAGAAAAGUCUAACUCUUUCGACAUUAUUCACACUACUCCAAACAACAUCAUUUAGCACCACAUGAGCUAAGUAUUUUUGACAGCCUUUCGAAAACAAUCUCUUUGCUCUCACAGCAUAAAUAACAGCCUGACUCAAUCCAUUUUGCAUACUUACAAAAGUAAUCUCUGUUCAUCCAUAUCGAUGGAAAGUACUGGUUUCCCGUAACAUUCCGUCUUGUCACAAUUAUAACCAACCAAUCUAAUGGAACAGAAUUAACUGAUACAAUAUAUAUUCUAUUAUUAUUAAGCAUUCUAAAUAAGUACAAUACUAACAUAAAAUAAUCUACCGGUUUGCUUGCUUAACGAAUCCACGAAUGAGUUAUUAAUAUUACGGUCUGCAGCCCGCAAUACUGAUAAAUCAUCGUUGUCUCGAUAAGUAGGCAACCACUCUCAAAGAUAUAACAUUACUAUUUUGUUACUCAAUGCAAAAUACAUACACUCGUCUCAACUACAUUUAUUUACUACUCUCUAGGUAAUAACAUACAUAAUAAGAAAUAUAUCAGCCGAAGUCAACUAGAAUGACCAAUACGGCUGAUUCAACUCUUAUCUCAAUAAUACGUCGGCCGGAUCCACUCCGCGUGGUCGGUAUGGCUGAGCCUAUAACUCACCAUUUCUCAUGUGUCAAUCGAAUCCACUUCUCAUGGUCUGUACGACUGAACAUAUAACUCAUCAAAUCUCUCUGUACUCACAGUCAAUCCGACCAAACUACUAAAUUCAUAAACUUGUUGAAUCAACACUAUGAUAUCAUGGAAAAUUGUUGAGUACAACUGAUUCUAGGGACGAUUCACAAUUCUGUGUCCCCUCUGUUCACAUAAACACAUUCAUUAAUUUCACAUUUCCCAAAGUGUUAAUUUUUUUUUUUUUUUUUUUUUUUUUUUUUUUUUUUUUUUUUUUUUUUUUUUUUUUUUUUUUUUUGUACCUGCUGCACAAGGUACAUUUCCUUUACUCGAGACACCUUGUCUCAAAUAUCUGGGAUUACCAGUAUAUCCAUCACUUUUACUCUGACCAGCGACAUUAAAACCUCAGCUGGAAGAAUUAACUCUAGCUUCACUUCUUUCGAAGCUCUGAAUCUUUCUAUAUCCUUGAUAUGACGAAUCAUUGACUUUAUCGUCUUCUUUUGAGUCUCAUUCAUUUCUUAUUCUUCUUUAUUCUCGUUGCUCAUGUUCUCAGAGUCCUCAAGACUCAACAGCAUCUCGCAUACUCCUGAUAAGAAUUACAAUGGAUAGUGGUCACCCAAAAUACCACUUCCCUUUUGCCACCCAGCCUAAAACAACAUAACACCUCCACCAAAUUCACAACAAUAUCUGGAUAGAACGAGGCAAGUCUGAAAACUUUCUAUAAUAUCCCUCGAUCAUCACCUUCCUUGUCUCAUAUUUGUAAACUCUUGUUUACCACCAUCGAUAAAUGCCGGAGGGAUAAACUUUUCCUUUAAACAAGUCCUUAAACAAUUCUCAAUCGACUGAUUCCUAUGGUGACAACAAUUCAUACUCCUGUUUCCACCAGGAUACAAAUUCAUAACCAAAACCAGGUAGUCGUCUCGACCCCUUGUCAGAAGGAAAUUUCCUUUGACUUGCAUAAUCUGAAACAUCUUUUCCAAUUGGUUAAACCGUUACUUCGCUCCCUCAGGUUCAUCAUUUCAUAAGGUGAUUCAAAUUCAACUCAUAACCCAUCUUAAAAUGUCCCUUUUUAUAAUAGACUGAAUCACCAUAAUAAUAGUUUUCCCUAAACCGCUAUAUUAGGGAGACUAAAUUCCUCUAACUACGUGGUUUGCUACGAGGCGGUGUAGUUCUGACAGAAUUCACUAUAAACUUCUCAAGAUGUCCAAGAUUGCAACCAUGCUCUGAUACCAACUGACAUACCCCAUCCCGAAGGAGGGCAUGCUGGCCGUCACGUGAGAGUGACGUAACCAUUUGCACAGUACGGAAGCUUUAAGAUACAAUUUAAGUUGAUACACCCGAAGGUGAGUCCUAAUUUUGUCCAAUCUGUCAGAACACCGUCGAAUUCCUCGUAGUCACCACACCUUUGUGAUUCCUGAACCUGGAGGGGCGCAAAACCAAAAUUGAGUGGGUCAGUAAAACAAUUCUUUUCCAAAUCCAAACAAUUUUCAAAACGUUGUAACCCCUCUCCGUAAAACCUGUAUAUUUUCCCAGAAAUGUAAAAUAUAAAUAUACAUAUAUAUUCUCAAAACUUCAAGUCGUUAACUCAACAUUUUCAUAACAAUUAUGCCAUGCCACAUCAUCUCAACAUUUCUCAUAUUAAUUAUGCCAUGCCACAUCAUCUCAACAGUAAUAAGGUAUGAAUGCAUCAACAUAAUCAUAUCAGGUGCAAGAAAGUAAUCAACCGUAGGCCCUCUAAUAGCCCUGUACGGUUGAACCUAGAGCUCAAAAUCUAUCAUUAUCACUCUACCGGAGUCACCUCUGUGACCCGUCCGGCCUUCUGCACACAAGUUACGCUCUAGUGCUUCUCAUAAGUCAUCUGUGCACAUAAUCUAAGGUCACCCACCAGUCGGAAUCUCACUAACACUCUCGCGACUGGUCUGUCGUACCCACUCCGCGUGGACUGUACGACUAGCAUCUACUUGGAUCCAAGGCGAGCGUGCGAUGCGGUGAAUACUAUAAGCACUAAACCAUGGUGCAGGAUUUGAGCUCAAUAUAUAUCAUCAUCAUAAUAACAGUAAUUAAAUUCUUACCUGUGCGUCCACCGCACCAAUUCAUACAUAUGCAUCAUAAAUCAAUUCUUACCUGUGCGUCCACCGCACCAAUUCAUACAUAUGCAUCAUAUAUUAAUUCAUGCAUGGCAUUUCAACUCACAUUUCUAUAUACUUUUCAUAUCAAUUCUAUGCAUGGUAUUUCACUUCCCGUUUUUCCACAUAACUCAUAUGCAUUUCAUUUUAAACAUAUUUUCAUUUCAAUUCAAUUUCUGGGAAACGUCAAGUAUAUAUAUAUACGGAAAACAAAACUGCCCACUCACCUGGAGUUCGCCCUACAACUCCCUAGCACAAUACGCCAAGGCGUCAUGACGAUCGCCGCCUAGAAUAGUAAUCAAAUCCAGGCUCAGAAUUCAUAUCGAUAAAAUAUAACUUAUAUAAAAUACGUCACUACGUAGUUCGAUCCGGAAGAUCUGCCACUCAGAUUUUAAAUCCAUAACUUCCAGAGGUCCACAAUAUAUCUCUAGGAUAACAUCCUAAAAUUUCAUUACCAUCCAACGGUUGGAUCUCCGUCAAUUUCCAAAACUAAGUGACGGUUAACAUUUUAUAUUAUGGACUUACAAUUCCAAUUCCGGAAGAUCCGUAACUCGGAUUCCCAAUCCGUAAGUUCCAAUAAUCCUCAAAUAUUACGUAUUACAACGUAUCAAAGUUUGGUGACAAUCCAACGGUCGGAUCAUCAAUUCACAUUUUCACCAAAACUAUAAAACGUUAUUCGAACACCUAACCAACAAUCCUUAAUAACUUUCUCAUACGGUGUUCAAUUUAGGUAUAUGAAUAUACCACAGUGAUCUACUCGACGUCACGGACGUCGACAUAUUUUUAAAAUAUUUUUAUUUUUAUUUUUUUAUUUUACUGUAGCACCAUCUUCUUCCUUGGGUCGCCGGACUGGUUUUUCCGGCGGCCGUUUUCCGGGCAGUUUUUCAAAUUGCCAUAACUUUGUCAUUUCUCAACGAAAUCAAGUGAUUCAAAAACGAAAGUUGUAGCCCUUGAAGAGACAAAGAGAAUGGUACCUUGCACAACACCUAGUUCGCCGUGGUUUGGCCGGAAACUGCCUCGAAAGCCUCGGAGGUCGCCGGAAACUGGGUAUUUUUCAAAUGAGUAUAACUUCUUCAAUACUCAACGAAAUUGAGUGAAACAAAAAGGAAAGUUGUAGUACUUGACGAGACGAAGAGAUUGAUACCUACCUCGACUCUUAACUCGCCGGGGAUUCGCCGGAAAAAGCCUCGAAAGCUCCGGCCAAACUUUGAACUUGUCGAUCUCAGUGUUCUUACGUCCAAAAACUUCCCACGAAGCACUCCGAGCUUCCUUGGGACCUCACUAAGCUCACUAUAAGCUUAGAAUUCCCUGAAACACAACAUUUUACGUUCACAUGAACAGUGACCAAAAAUGGAGGUUCGGGUUUCACAUGAUUCCGAAGGUUUCACUUCCUAAAACUAGUACCAAUGAACUCAGAAUGACGAAAGGAUGAAGAUGCAUACCUUAGUUGCCUCGAUCCGUCGAGUUUUGGAGGAUUUGGGUGUAUGCCGUACGUUUUGGGUGAGAGAGAGUGAGAGAGAAAGAGGAAGUCGUGAGGGAGGAGAGAGAAUGAACUGAGAGAGAGACAAGGUACGGGAAAGAGGGAGAAAAUUGAGGGGUGUGGGAUCCUACCCAAUCCCCAACUACAAAAUUCUAACAUAAAUUUAAAUCUAAGUCUCCACUCUACUUACCAAAUUUUAGGAGCUUAGAUAUAACGAACAUAAAAAUUAUACCUUAGCCACGUAUUAGGGGCAUUUUCGUAAUUUCACAUCCUCGGAAUUAAAAAUUCCGGGACGGGCUGUGACA
rnacentral:lncRNA from 1 species